UUAAGUAAUUUCCUUUUUUUAUAAGUACAAAACAAAAUAUCCAAUCAUUUGUACUUUAUUUUAUCACAUACUUUAUCUCUCUCUCUUAUUUCUCCUACUUUAUUUAUCUCUCCUAUCAUUCAACCCAAUUUCUUAUUCUCCGUGCCCAAAAAUUUUUCAUCAACUUAUUUGGUACAAAAGGAGUACUAGUAACAAAUAUUGGAUCUCAUCUUAUCAUCUGUUGUGUUAUACAGGGAUGUCGUUAGAGAAACUACGUACAUUGCUGGAUUCAGGUAACCCUGCAGGUGAGUAUUUACUAUUCUUAAUAUUGAUGUUUAUGUUAUAGGGGUAUUUUCUUUGAUGGAAAUUAAUGGAUGAUAUACAUUUUUCACAUUUUUUCACUCUUUUGAAAUACUCUUUCCGUCUAUCAAUUAAAGAAACAUUUUGCCAUUUUGUCCACGAUUUAAAAAAUCUUAUAUUUUUUCCCACUUUUGGCAUGUGGAUCUCAUAUUCCACUGACAUUUAUCACACAUAGUUAUUAUAAAACUAACUACUAAAAAUGGGUGUCACAUUCCACUUACUUUCUCCAUUUAUUUUUCUUUCACAUAGUCAAAUAAUUUUUUAAAAGUCAUGUCAAGUCAAAAUGACUCUAUAAAUGAUGGAAGGAGUUAGAAUUUGGUAAGGUGGGUAUUUUUCUCAACUCAUUUCCCCAUUUUAUAUUUUCUAACUCCAAUUUAUGAUAAUAUCAUCAUGUUAUAUUAGUGGGAUAAUGUUUUUCCAUGCUUUCCACCACAGAAAAUAUGGUGUGAUGAGAUGAUCAUUUGUGAUUUUUCUUUUUCUUUUUGAUUCUGCCUCUGCUCUCUAUGCAUGGUUUGUAGUAGAUGCUUCUUUUGGACAAUAUCCAAUUAUCAUUUGGGAGUCAUUUGGCUGGCAAUGAUCUUUAGGAUUGUGAGUCGUGUCUAUGAAGAAAUAAAUAUGCAUGUUUUUCGUAUUGUGAUUGGAAACACCAAAAAAAUUGAUAGAAUUCAAAUUUUAAGUUAAAGUCAAAUAGAUAUGAACUUGUAAUAUUUCGAUUUAAUUGCAACUUGUUUGGAGCUAAUCUUUUUUUUAGUUGAUCAACUUGUAAGACUAAGUUGCACACACUUAUCCAAAAAUGGUUAGUUGAACGCUACUUUUCCUCUCAACGAGAUUACAUACAUCAUACACUAUCUUUUCGUUUUAUUUUGAAGAAGAAGACGAAAGGAUUUGUGUUUGAGUUUGAGUUUUGAGUUUGAGUUUGAGGUGCUUCCAAAGACUGAGAAGAUAAAAAGGAAUUAUUGUCAAUCAAACAUUCUUCAAAUUCACACUGGUGACUCCUAAUCUCUAUGGGAACCUGGUCUCCAAUAUAGCUGCAGGUAUUGCUGGUGGAACUGGUGUCAUGCCUGGAGGGAAUGUAGGGGCUGAUCAUGCCAUUUUUGAGCAA